rnacentral:rRNA from 1 species
UACAGAGGUCUCAAGCGUUGUUCGGAUUCAUUGGGCGUAAAGGGUGCGUAGGCGGUGCAGAAAGUAGGGUGUGAAAUCCCUCGGCUCAACCGAGGAACUGCGCUCUAAACUACUGUGCUAGAGGGAGAUAGAGGUGAGCGGAACUUAGGGUGGAGCGGUGAAAUGCGUUGAUAUCCUAAGGAACACCGGUGGCGAAAGCGGCUCACUGGAUCUCUUCUGACGCUGAGGCACGAAAGCUAGGGUAGCAAACGGG